rnacentral:rRNA from 1 species
UACGAAGGGUGCAAGCGUUAAUCGGAAUUACUGGGCGUAAAGGGUGCGUAGGCGGUUCGUUAAGUCUGUCGUGAAAUCCCCGGGCUCAACCUGGGAAUGGCGAUGGAUACUGGCGAGCUAGAGUGUGGAAGGGGCGAUUGGAAUUCCGUGUGUAGCGGUGAAAUGCGUAGAUAUACGGAGGAACACCAGAGGCGAAGGCGGAUCGCUGGGCCAACACUGACGCUGAGACGCGAAAGCUAGGGUAGCAAACGGG